AUUGAACGCUGGCGGCAGGCCUAACACAUGCAAGUCGAACGAGUGGCGGACGGGUGAGUAAUGUCUGGGAAACUGCCCGAUGGAGGGGGUAAACUACUGGAAACGGUAGACAAUACCGCAUACCAUCGGAUGUGCCCAGAUGGGAUUGUCUAGUAGGUGGGGUAACGGCUCACCUAGGCGACGAUCCCUAGCUGGCAUGCGAGGAUGACCAGCCACACUGGAACUGAGACACGGUCCAGACUCCUACGGGAGGCAGCAGUGGGGAAUAUUGCACAAUGGGCGCAAGCCUGAUAAAGCCAUGCCGCGUGUAUGAGGAAGGCCUUCGGGUUGUAAAGUACUUUCAGCGGGGAGGCGUUACCCGCAGAAGAAGCACCGGCUAACUCCGUGCCAGCAGCCGCGGUAAUUC
rnacentral:rRNA from 1 species